rnacentral:snoRNA from 1 species
AUCUCAUGAUGUGGACAUCUUCUCAAUAGUUUUUUAAAUCUCUCCCUGGCUUCAUACAAAGAUUCACCAUGAAAUUGUGUGAAUGAGGUGAUAUCGUUCCUCAUCUU